UACGUAGGGUGCAAGCGUUAAUCGGAAUUACUGGGCGUAAAGCGUGCGCAGGCGGUUAUGUAAGACAGGUGUGAAAUCCCCGGGCUUAACCUGGGAACUGCAUUUGUGACUGCAUAGCUAGAGUACGGUAGAGGGGGGAUGGAAUUCCGCGUGUAGCAGUGAAAAUGCGUAGAUAUGCGGAGGAACACCGAUGGCGAAGGCAAUCCCCCUGGACCUGUACUGACGCUCAUGCACGAAAGCGUGGGGGAGCAAACAGG
rnacentral:rRNA from 1 species